rnacentral:lncRNA from 1 species
AAAAUGAAAAUGAAAAGAUGGUCAAAUUUUGGGGUACUACAGCUGCCCCUAUUUAAUCAGCUUCAAACUGAGAGGAUGACGACCGUGAGUUUUCAACUUCUCGUGGUGGAAGAUGAUUAAAUAUAGAGAGAGGCCUUAAUUUUGACCAUGUAGUCAGCAGAGUCCGGGAAUGUGCAAAGAUUGAACAAUCUUUGAUGCUCUAUUGACAUCCAGACCAACCUUUGAUAGGACCCCAAUAAUAC